rnacentral:sRNA from 1 species
AGUGCAACACAACACAAUACAACACAGUUUCAACACCAUCAACAAAGAUGUGUUUGACCAACACCUGGUCUGAUCACAGAGCCUGGAAACUGGUGCAAUGAAAGAGCACAGUCAGAUUGGAAAGGGUUGGCAUCCGCGGCUACAGCUACAUUCAUCUCCUUAGAAACCAGUCCUGCUCCAGGAAAAUGUCUCUCCAUUACGGUUGCUGCUGCCCUGAGUGCACAUCUGUGGCCGUAAAGUAAAUGAUGUGGGUGACUUGGCCAAGAGUUGCCUGUGUGGUCAAGGAUGCCGGCAGCGCAGGAAAGUCAAGACCAGGCAGGCCCGGGGGGCAGUUCAUGCUCAUGAGGACAGGCCACGUAGGCAGUUGUGGGAGAGCUGGGCCAGCCAUUGACAAGGACAAUCAUUUGUGGUGUUGUCUCUCUGCUUAUUCAGGGGAAAGAAUUUCAGCUCCUGAAAGGGAAAUCUACUGUCAUUAUUGCAACCAAAUGAUGCCAGAAAAGUAUUUCCACCAUAUGGGUAAAUGUUGUCCAGACUCAGAGUUUAAGAAACACUUUCCUGCUGGAGAGCCAAAAAUUCUUCCUUCAUCUCCUCCAAGUCAAGCUGCUGAAAAUCAAACUUCCACAAUGGAGAAAGAUGUUCGUCCAAAGACAAGA